GCCUCGCGCGGGAGGGAGAGCGGGGUCGAGGGGGACGCCUAGACCGCAGCGUCCGCCUGUUGCGAGCCGAGGCGGUGUGGAGGCGCGGGCGGGGUAAGGGGGCGCGUGGGCUGGGGCAGGGGGCCACCAGCAAUUGGUGCCGCCCGCGAGAGCGCUGCCCGGCCCCCUCCCUUCCUGCCCGCAGCCCUACGAGGACGUCUGACUGCCCGGAGUGUCAGCUGAGUUCUGUCCAGGGCGCAAGUGACUGUGCAGUGGAUGUGGGGACAGGCAGCCAGCCGACCCAGACCGCGCCUUGCCUGUGGACCCCGCCCCGCCCGCGUCUGGACUCCCUAGCUUGGUGGCUGCCCUGUCGCCCCCCAAUGCCCAGCUGACCGAGGCCCAGCUACUCACCAUCUCCUUGCGCAGCG